rnacentral:tRNA from 1 species
GGGUGGGUACCCGAGUGGCCAAAGGGGACAGACUGUAAAUCUGUUGGCAUUGCCUUCGGAGGUUCGAAUCCUCCUCCACCCA